rnacentral:misc_RNA from 1 species
GAAAUGCGAUACUUGGUGUGAAUUGCAGAAUCCCGUGAACCAUCGAGUCUUUGAACGCAAGUUGCGCCCGAAGCCGUCAGGCCGAGGGCACGUCUGCCUGGGCGUCACGCAUCGCGUCGCCCCCCCUCCCCUCGCACCGCGCGGGAGAGGCGGGGCGGAUAUUGGCCCCCCGUGCGCCACGGCGUGCGGCCGGCCCAAAUGUGAUCCCCCGGCGACUCGUGUCGCGAUGAGUGGUGGUUGAUUUUCUCAAUCUCGCAGCGUCGCGCCCCCGUGUCGUCCGGACGGGCAUCAAUGAACGACCCAAGGGUGCCAUGCACCAUCGACCGCGACCCCAGGUCAGGCGGGAUCACCCGCUGAGUUUAA